AACUGGUCCCUUUAGAGGAAGUAAGAGUCGUAACAAGGUUUCCGUAGGUGAACCUGCGGAAGGAUCAUUAACGAGUUAGGGUCUCUCUGGCCCGACCUCCCAACCCUUUGUCUACUUGACCAUCGUUGCUUCGGCGAGCCCGUCCUCACGGACCGCCGGAGGGAUCUUUACUGGCCCUCUGGUCCGCGCUCGUCGGUAGCCCAACCUUUAAAAUCUUUAACUAAACGUGCCUUAAUCUAAGUACAAUUAUUAAAUAAAAGCAAAACUUUCAACAACGGAUCUCUUGGUUCUGGCAUCGAUGAAGAACGCAGCGAAAUGCGAUAAGUAAUGCGAAUUGCAGAAUUCCAGUGAGUCAUCGAAUCUUUGAACGCACAUUGCGCCCUUUGGUAUUCCGAAGGGCAUGCCUGUUCGAGCGUCAUUAUCACCCCUCAAGCCCCCGGCUUGGUGUUGGACGGUUUGGUGGAGGCCCCCUCGGGGGUUCCUGCCCCUCCCAAAGACAAUGACGGCGGCCUCGUUGGACCCCCGGUACACUGAGUUCUUCACGGGACACGUAUCGGACACAUGGGUUUGCUUGACACGGUCUGCCUCCCCUCAGGGAGAAUCUUAUCUAAGGUUGACCUCGGAUCAGGUAGGGAUACCCGCUGAACUUAAGCAUAUCAUA
rnacentral:rRNA from 1 species